rnacentral:ncRNA from 2 species
CUUUUAUCAAGAAUGGUGGAGGGACUGGCCCUUUGAAGCCUGGCAACAGCUAGCAGUCAUAAGCUAGAAUUGUGCUAAAUCCUGCAGAUUAAUAUCUGUACUUAAAGG